UACAGAGAGUGCAAACGUUGUUCGGAAUUACUGGGCUUGAAGCGCACGUAGGCGGCGUUGUAAGUGUCGGGUGAAAUCCCACGGCUCACCCGUGGAACUGCCCGGCAUACUGCGAUGCUGGAGUGUGGUAGGGGAGAGCGGAACUCCUGGUGGAGCGGUGAAAUUCGUAGAUAUUAGGAAGAACACCGGUGGCGAAGGCGGCCCACUGGAUCGGUACUGACGCUGAGGUGCGAAAGCGUGGGGAGCAAACAGG
rnacentral:rRNA from 1 species